rnacentral:piRNA from 1 species
UAUGGACUAGAUAAAUUUAUGUACUA